GGCCUAAACCAGCUAAGUUCACACUGCUGGCAUGGCCGCCAAACCGUAAGCCAUAGAGAACCCGUUAUCAGGGCGUGGCUUACGUUGCUGGAGGAAACUCCAGUAUGGCCGCAAGGCCG
rnacentral:sRNA from 1 species